CAAUCCCCGGUACCAAAACAAAAAAAAUAAUAAUAAAACAAAACAGACCUUGUAAUCCCAGCUACUCAGGAGGCUGAGGCAGAAGGAUUCCAAGUUUGAGGCCAGCCUCAGCAACUUAUGGAUACCCUAUCUCAAAAAAUAAAUAAAAUUUACAAAAAAACUGGGCUGGCGACAUAGCUCAGUGGUUAAGUGCCCGAGGGUUCAAUCCUUGGUGCCAAAACAUACACACACACACACACACACACACACGGCAUUUGAGGGGGGCCAGCAGUCUUUAGGGAUAUGGUGUUGGAAAUUUCCAAUGAACAGGGGACAAGUGUGGGAAUGGCAGCGAUGCGACUCCCUGGUCUCAAGCUCCUUUCUGGAGGGUAGUAGCUGUCCAAAAUUCAGUGGCUUCUUGAUUUGUUGAAAACCAAUAAUGGUCACAGACCAUGAGGGUCCGGGAAAAGUCAGCCAGUGACAAUCUGUGACCUUGAUCAAAGGCCUAAAUCUACAGUCCCCCUACUGUUCAGGAAAAGGACAAACUCUGUUCCCAGGUAUGAGAAGCUGACUGCUGACCCUGAGCUAGAUAGUGAAGGCAUGGUCAGUCUGGCCUCAGGCUGCACCCCAGACAGAAGCCACAGAGGGUCCCCUUCAACUAAAUACAGCCCUUUCUUGCUUCAAAUAUCUUUAUCAUGUAAUGUUUUGAACAACUAAUAGUAAUAAAAAUUAAAAAUAUAUAUAUAUAUAUAUCUUUAUCACUCCCCUCUCAGGUGCUUCUGGGACCAGAACAGUAGCAAGCCAAAUACUUUGAAAACACAGCUGUCCAUCAGACACCCUGAGCAGAUCCCUUUUUGCCAGUAGAUGACCUCCUGGGGUGUUGGAGAACCCCUAGGCAUCUGGCCAGUGGUGAAUAGACUUGCACAGGCAGAUUCCAGUGUGGACAAACCACCAGUGAAAACUGUCGUGACCAGGAAGGCCUGGUCCGGCCAGGAAGCGAGGAAGUAUGCCCUCCAGCAACAGCUCUGGCUUUGCCCUGCUCUGGGGCUCAAUUUCCUCAGCCCACUGGUCACAUCAGUCCUGCACCUGCACUGCAGCACCUGAAGACAGGUGCUCUCCACACACAGCCCUGAGGAAGAACUUCAUGGUGUCCGCUUUUCUGUUCCUGAGCCAAUCAACGGGGCAAGAGCAGCAUGGCUAGAAAGGGUCAGGCCUGGGAUGCAGUCACAGGAUUGGCAGGUGUGAGGAACAGAGGGCUCCUGCUGGGGGGCACUCCUAUCACAAUCCUGUCAGCAGCCUCCAAGAUGGCCCUCAGUGACUCCAUCCCUGCUGUCCACACCCUGAGGUAGUACCUCCCACACGGGGCCAGAGCAGGUCUCAGUGACCAUGGCACUGUGUGCAUGGUGGCAGUAAUGGCCAACCACUCCUGAGAUUAAAUCUCAAAGGGCUGUGUCUUGCAUCUGGGGCUCUGACUGCUAGUAAUUGGCUUUGGGCAGCCUGCUGCUAUGUCAUGAGUAGCCCUGAGAAAGCCACAUGGCAGGGAACAGAGCCUCGCGUGAUAACAGCUAGGCCUCUCACCCUGACCAGCUCCCAACUUCAGAGACCCAGCAAGGUGAGUCUCCAAGUUGUGGGUUUGAGGAGUUCCCCAUGGAGAGCACACAGCCCUCGCCUUUGGAAGUCCCUCCUAAGGGCCUGUCAGAAACCCACACCAAGUCUAAAGGAAUGUCGAGAACUAGAUACCUAUUAGCACAAAUUCUACUUUUUAAAAAUAUUUUUAGUUGUAGAUGGACACAAUACCUUUAUUUUAUUUAUUUAUUUUUUAAUAUGGUGCUAGGAUCGAACCCAGUGCUUGCUAGGCAAGCCCUAACCCCAGCCCUUUCUUUUCUUCUUUUUAUAUCAGGGAUUGAAUCCAGGGGCUCUUAAUCACCAGCCCUUUUUAUUUUAUUUAUUUGUUCAUUUUUGUACCGGAGAUUGAACUCGGGGGCACUGGAUCACUAAGCCACCUCCCCAGCCCUUUCUUAUAUUUUAUUUAGAGACAGGGUCUCACUGAGUUGCUUAGUGCCUUGCUUUUUGCUGAGGCUGGCUUUGAACUUAUGAUCCUCCUGCCUCAGCCUUCCAGGCCACUGGGAUUACGGUGUGCACCACCGUGCCCAAUCCUUUUUAAAUAUUGUUUUUUGUUUUGUUUUGAGAUAGGGUUUCACCUUACUAAUUGCUGAGGCCUCAAACUUGCAGUACUCCUUCCUCAGCCUCCUGAUUCCCUGAGAUUACAGGUAUAGCCACUGUAUCUGGCUUCUGCCCAAUUUUUUACAAAGGUUUUUUGUUUGUUUUUGUUUUUCUGAAUAAAAAUAGACUUUUUAUCUUUUCAAGAACAAAAUCUUUUUUUAAUAUUCAUUUUUUAGUUGUAG
rnacentral:lncRNA from 1 species